rnacentral:lncRNA from 1 species
GUUGCUACAUUUCCUUUAUUGUCUGCUUUGUAAGACAUAAAAAGCAAAAAUAACAGAUUCCAUAGCCUUAAAAACUUCCAUAAAGCAACACGCUUAUGUUUCAGAGAAUUGUCAGAAAGCCUUCAGCCCAGCAGGUUUCAGCAGAGGGGUUUGCUAGCCAGAUCUGCACAGGGGUGGGAGUAUAACCCAGCAGAUGCAGCCAGCACGGAGCAUUCACAGGGUGCUACUCGCAAUUCUUCUGUGAGCACAUUUAGCAAGUCAUUUUACCUUUCUGUCUCAGUUUCUUUAUCUGUGAAAUGGAAAUGCUGAUACUUAAGUAGAGAAAUUCAAAUUAAGGAGUACAUUCAGGCAGGCUCUAAAGUGCAACAGUGCUGAUUGUCAGAGACCCAAAAAGGCCCAAAAUAGCAGCAAGAAUAUUUCACCUAUAUUCUUAUUAGUCUCUAGCUAUUCCUGGAGGUGAGAGACACUAACAAUAGAGUCUCUUGCAGGUCUAGUUCUGUGUUAGAGAGGUCUGAAGUCAGACAGGGCUAGGCUGUCACCAUCAGUGACCUAAGUCCUUUAUCUUACAAUUUAAUAUUCGUUUUAAGAACUACUCAGAGCAUUUACCCCAAGCAAUUUUAACAGACAUGCUUCUUCAAAAGUCCACUACUCAAACUAGCUGCAAGCUACUUCAUUCCCUGCUCUUCUUGCGCCAUGACUGUUCUUCAGCUUAAAUAGCCCUCUUCUCUUCCUGCUCUGACUCAGUGGAUUUACACAAAUCAACUCCAUUCCUUCUGUCUCUUGACCUCAGCAGCCAAAGAAACAUACCUGCUGUUGAGUCCCUGUUCCUACAAGGACUUUCUCUGAAUCCUGAGAGACAAAGCUAUAAAAGCCCUGACUCUGCCUUUCUGCCAUUAUAAUCGUGGUGUUCAUGAGGUUGUUUUUUUCCUCAGAAGCACAUGGUGUGUGCCUCAAUUGUCAGAAAGAGUAAAGCAGCACAUGAGACAGGUCACACAAGCACAGUGUCCUUCGCAGAGUAUGCUAUAGUGCAUUAUUAUUUCCAUUGCAAAAAAGACAGCCAGAACACAGAGAAUAUUCCUCCUUGCAUAAAAACAUCAUUUUAAAGGUCUCCAGUGCACAGAAGCUUCAAAACUGCACCCAGGUCAUGAGCUACAUCCUAUGGAAAGAGAGGCAAGAUCCACAGCCCUCAUGUCCAAACACUGGAUAUAGAAGCCUAAAUUACCUUCAUGGUUACCCCAAGUCUCUGACAUAAAUACAUUUUAUAGGACAGAUGCCCUUUAGACAUCACAAUAAGGGAGGUCAGGGUAGAAGAAAUAGUAAACACUGAGUUGAGGAAUUAUAUAAUGGAGAAAAAGAAAGAAGACCCAUGAAGCACACAUCUGCCUUCUGCACUUACCUGAAGGUACCAUCAUGCUCACAGCAAGGCUCAACUCCAAAACCUUCAGCUCUAGACUUGUCCUCUCCCUCGUGCUUACAACAGUCACAUCCCACAACAUCUGCCAGCGUGUUAAUGAUGACUGGCACAUCACAUAAUGAGCCCCCCACACACCUGUGCAACUUCGGGAAGCAGCUGGCAAGUUCCUUCACCCACCCACAAUCUCUACAUCCAUCCAUUUCUCCACCAAGGGCUGGCCCCAGCCACAGCACCACCACCCCUCCUGAUUUUCAACUCCUUCCUUCCACUCUCUUUAGCAGGGAUUCAUGCUGAAGCACCAUUGCCUCCCUGCCUCCAAGAACUCAAACUUCACUGCAUCCCCUCUUUAACAACUAUGGUACACAGGAACUACAAGACACGAGUACUUUCUUCACACAAGUUUUGCCAUAGCAGCUGGCUCUCUCAGGUGGCUAGGUUCACUAGAGUAUCAGAAAAGGAUGUGUGAGCAUCCCAGGCAGGCAAUUAUAGGAUGACUAGUCCAUGUUAAAAAAGUUUCUUCCUAAUCCUGUCAGAUACUGCUUGCCUUAAGCCCUGAAGCUCUAAGAUAUAUUGAUCACCAUCUCCUUUUAUCCUGCACAACAGAGCUGUGUUUAUUCUCAAAUUCCUGGGCCAUACCUAAUCCUACUCACUUGACAACCUGAGAGAUCUCUCAUGGCAUCAGCUUCUGCUGUCCCAGUUAGAAGGAGUGUGAAUAUGUAUUUCUCCAUUUCAGGCAACUACUAGCUUGCCAGAGAAAAAAUGGACAGAACUUUUAACCCAGCAGCAUCUGCUCCAUGCCUAAGCUUUUCUGAUGCCUGUGUGUGCACAAGACACCAAAUCCUGCAAAAGGUAAUGCUUUUCUAAACCUCAGAAUUACUGGAAGAAUUCAAUCCAAGUUCCCUUAGGAAUGGUAGAUGAGUGGCAGGGGUAGCAGAGGGCUGAUCUACAUAAGAAAAGGCCAAAUUACAUUUCUUUCAUCUCUGCUAAGCCAUUUUUCUUGAGGGAGCUCAAAGAAGUCAUGUAGGAGGACCUCAGCUCAUGCCUUCCACAACAGAAGGUUAGUUACCACCAGAAUGCAUUGCAAGCUACCACCCUGAUCCUCACAGUUUCCAUCCCCUGCAUGGCACCCAAGCAAAAAUCACUUUUCUGAGCAAGAAAACACCAGCCCAAGGCUCUUACCCUAACAACAUAAACACACAUGUUCAGGUUUCAAUUUCCAAUCUUUUUUCAUGGAGACAAACUAAGAUAAUCGCCAUCCUCCCAUACACAUAAUUAUUCAUCCAGUACUGUUCUACACCAGCCACCAUUUCUCUUCCCUUUCAUGCAUCCUUCCAGUACAGCAGCACCAGGCUAGAAUUAUCCUGUUGGAAGUCUUUCCUUCAGCUCCAGGGCUGCAGUUGGAGACUUUGUCACACUCAGCCCACUGCUGAAAGCUCUUGCUUGAGCCCCUCCAUACCACAGGUGGUGGGAUUUCACAUAGUGCUCACUGAAGCAGCCCACAGAUUAUCUGGGCAUCUUUUAAAAAAGGCUGGUCUCAAAGUUUCAAAUCCCACCUCAACCUUCUAUAGCUUUCAUAGGAUGUAGCAAUCAGUAUUAUUCCAGUCAAGUGCAUAUUAUUGAUUUAUACGGUGGUAUGAUAAGAUUGUCAAUGAUUUCUAUUCCAAUCUUCAUGCAUCCUCACACUUUUUAAUUUUUCAAGGGGGAGAAGAAAGGGAAAAAAAAGUAAAAAUCGCUUCUAGGUAUCGAGCAGAGGGUCUCAGUACAAAGUCCUCUUCCCCCUUGCUGAUUGCAGUUAAUCAAGAAGCCAGCAGAGCGAAAGACCCAUCCAAACUGCUUCCUCCAAGCUGUAACCUCACAGAAACCAUGGCACAUAUUCCCCCCUGUUGGGGCAUAUCACAGUCAAGGCUCCUCCAUCCAGUGGAUUCCCUGCUCGGCUCUCACAGGGCAGACCCAAGGCCCCAGGCAGUGCCUGGGGAACUCCUUUUUCUUCUGAGAGACUGAAAACUGAUGGUUUAACCUUAACCUAUGCGCUCUGACUUUCAAGCCAGCUCCAGACCUGCAAGAGCACUCUGCUGCUCACCUGAAAGCUGCCCUGUUCCUCUUACGGGCUCCUGUAAGAACUUCUGUCACUAUGUUUUUCUUCAGCUUGUAGAAAAUCCUGCAAAGUCUCUUUCAUUCCUUCACCAGCUGUUGAGGAAGCAGCCAAUUGUCAGCUAAGGCUUGGUGGCUGAAUGCAGGCCUCCUAGGAUGCAGCACAGGCAUAGAGCAGGCA